AUAGGUUGUUUGCUUGUCGACAUUUUUGCUUGUAUGUUUACAAGAGCAGCAUAUGGAACCACUCAGGGGAAUGACAUUAUAAAGCUGAAUUUUGAUCCGUAUAUCUACUGUUUCUUUGUGGUUCUUUAAAGGUAAGUGCACUAUUAUCCAUUGCUGGGUUGCUUCAGUGACUUUAUGAUGAACCAUGGAACCACUCAAGAGUCUCACUUUGUAGAGCUAUCAUGGUAAGCAGGUAGCCAGGUAGAGAUAUCAGGGUCGGCUUGUUAUUUAUUUUCUUCCUUGCUUUGCAGGCUGUAUUGCUUAUUGCAUCGUACCUUGAUGUUCCUCUACGAUAUCCUUUGCGCUUGGGAGGCUCACGUUCAUAUAUUCAUGACUAUGCUCCUUCAGUUGAGUCUAUAUCAUCAGAUUACAAAGCCGUCUGAAUUCUAUCAAUUGAUAUUUUUCCUUAUUCAAUUAAGGUUCCAUGAUAAAAGAGUAUUUCAAGAUUACAUUUUCAUAUAUGCUUCAUCUUUCUAACUGAUUCAUGCAUAAUAAAAUCUGGUGGCCAAGUGGCACUUAUGGUUCAGUACUAAGAUGGUACAAUUUUCAUCAGAAGUUAAUUUUUAUUUCCCUACCUCUCCUAUCCCUCUUCCUCUACUCAAUUUUCUGAUAGGGUAUUAUUGGUUAAGCAGUUGAAAUCGAAGGUUGGUGAAGUGAUGUCCUCUCCUGCCAUCACUCUGUCACCUGACAAGACAGUUUUAGAUGCUGCAGCUUUGAUGCUUAAGAUGAAGAUCCAUAGGGUACCAAUCGUAAAUGAAAAACAGCAAGUUGUAGGAAUGGUUUCUCGAACAGACAUAUUCCAGGCACUGGAAACCCAGGUGGUAUAAGCUCUCUGCUUCAUAAGAAUGCUUAUCUGCUGUGUAAAUAUGAAAAUAAGUGUAAAUAUGAAAAAUAAGUUAAAGAAGCACAUAAAACAGGGCAGCUAUGACUUUGUGACUCCUAAUUGCAUAUUGUAUGAUAUAUUCUCUUCAUUUCUUUGUG